GAUGAAGAACGCAGCGAAAUGCGAUAAGUAAUGUGAAUUGCAGAUUUUCAGUGAAUCAUCGAAUCUUUGAACGCACCUUGCGCUCCCUGGUAUUCCGGGGAGCAUGCCUGUUUGAGUGUCAUUAAAUUCUCAACCCCGAUCGGAUUUGUUUUCGCAUUCGGAGGCUUGGAUAGUGGAGCGUGCUGGCCCCCUCUCAUGGGUCGGCUCCUCUCAAAUGCAUUCGCGGAAUCGACUUUGGUCCAUUUCGGUCAUCAGUGUAAUAAACGUUGCGCUGUUGGCUAGGAUCGAGGUGCCGCAUACAAUGGUCUUCGGACAAUUUUAUAAACCAUUUGACCUCAAAUCAGGUAGGACUACCCGCUGAACUUAAGCAUAUCAAUAAGCGGAGGA
rnacentral:misc_RNA from 1 species